rnacentral:rRNA from 1 species
GAUGAACGCUGGCGGCGUGCCUAAUACAUGCAAGUCGAGCGAACGGACGAGAAGCUUGCUUCUCUGAUGUUAGCGGCGGACGGGUGAGUAACACGUGGAUAACCUACCUAUAAGACUGGGAUGACUUCGGGAAACCGGAGCUAAUACCGGAUGAUAUUUUGAACCGCAUGGUUCAAAAGUGAAAGACGGUCUUGCUGUCACUUAUAGAUGGAUCCGCGCUGCAUUAGCUAGUUGGUAAGGUAACGGCUUACCAAGGCAACGAUGCAUAGCCGACCUGAGAGGGUGAUCGGCCACACUGGAACUGAGACACGGUCCAGACUCCUACGGGAGGCAGCAGUAGGGAAUCUUCCGCAAUGGGCGAAAGCCUGACGGAGCAACGCCGCGUGAGUGAUGAAGGUCUUCGGAUCGUAAAACUCUGUUAUUAGGGAAGAACAUAUGUAUAAGUAACUGUGCACAUCUUGACGGUACCUAAUCAGAAAGCCACGGCUAACUACGUG